GAAUCUAUCGUGUAAACACCGAGAACCUACUUAUGCCCUCUCACAAGCGGCAGUUCCCCUUGAGGAGUCUCCUUUGUGAGUGCGCAGGUCAGGGGCUGGCUCCUUUUGGUGUCAGUUGACUUGACUGGGCGGGUCCAAUAUCAAUUGGGGCCUUUCUGCCUUUUGGGCGGUCAGGUCUACCGGUUGUGAGGGGUGGCUUUCAACAAUCUCAAAAGUAUUUUCUGAAGACAGUUCUACUGGCUGGCUUCGCCGGCUGUAGACUGAAUAACUAAAGACAACUCUCAACAACGGAUAUCUUGGCUCCCGUAACGAUGAAGAACGCAGCGAAAUGCGAUACGUAGUGUGAAUUGCAGAAUUCCGUGAACCAUCGAAUCUUUGAACGCAAAUUGCGCUCGAGGCCUCGGCCUAGAGCAUGUCUGCCUCAGCGUCGGCUACUACCCUCAACUAAAUUUCAUUGGUGAACUCCGAUGAAAGGCAGUUGGAUCUGGCCGUCCGGUUUGCCUUUUGGGUUGCCGGUCAGCUGAAAUACAUUCACGCUUUAAGAGCUGCUUUCCCUUCGGGAAAGGCGAGUUCCGAUUUGGUAGGUGACCUUUGCCGGUUGCAUGCCUUCGUUGCCCGCUAUGCUCUCAACUGCGCUGUGCAGGACGCCUUUUGGCUUUCGACCUGAGGUCAGGCAAGAACACCCGCUGAACUUAAGCAUAUCAAUAAGCGGAGGAAAAGAA
rnacentral:rRNA from 1 species